rnacentral:rRNA from 1 species
UACGUAGGGGGCAAGCGUUGUCCGGAAUCAUUGGGCGUAAAGAGCGUGUAGGCGGUUCAGUAAGUCGGCUGUGAAAGUCCAGGGCUCAACCCUGGGAUGCCGGUCGAUACUGCCGGACUAGAGUUCGGAAGAGGCGAGUGGAAUUCCCGGUGUAGCGGUGAAAUGCGCAGAUAUCGGGAGGAACACCUAUGGCGAAGGCAGCUCGCUGGGACGUUACUGACGCUGAGACGCGAAAGCGUGGGAGC